rnacentral:rRNA from 1 species
AUUGAACGCUGGCGGCAUGCCUUACACAUGCAAGUCGAACGGUAACAGGAAGCAGCUUGCUGCUUCGCUGACGAGUGGCGGACGGGUGAGUAAUGUCUGGGAAACUGCCUGAUGGAGGGGGAUAACUACUGGAAACGGUAGCUAAUACCGCAUAACGUCGCAAGACCAAAGAGGGGGACCUUCGGGCCUCUUGCCAUCGGAUGUGCCCAGAUGGGAUUAGCUAGUAGGUGGGGUAACGGCUCACCUAGGCGACGAUCCCUAGCUGGUCGGAGAGGAUGAACAGACACACUGGAACUGAGACACGGUCCAGACUCCUACGGGAGGCAGCAGUGGGGAAUAUUGCACAAUGGGCGCAAGCCUGAUGCAGCCAUGCCGCGUGUAUGAAGAAGGCCUUCGGGUUGUAAAGUACUUUCAGCGGGGAGGAAGGUGUUGAGGUUAAUAACCUCAGCAAUUGACGUUACCCGCAGAAGAAGCACCGGCUAACUCCGUGCCAGCAGCAGCCGCAGUAA